AACAUUUAAGACAAUAAUUUCUUCUGCAAUCCCCAAAUCAAACCCAUUUUGAGUGGACAAUCAUUUUCGAAUGGUGUUACUCUUGUAAACGACUUCUCCAAUUCAUUUAUUUAGAUGGGUUGUCGGAUCUAUUUGUCAACCAAACCCACCCAAACCGGUAUUUUUCCGGAUUUUGGUAGGAAACUUUGAGUGUGUUUUUGUUACGAGGGAUUUUCACUGGGUCUUGGACUCUCUCUCCGAAUUCUUGUACGUUUGAACAAACUUCAAGAAGCGUAGCAGGAAAUGGGAUUCUGGGCACUACUGGAAGGCUUUCUUCUUUUUGCAAAUGCACUAGCUAUACUAAAUGAGGACCGCUUCCUUUCUCCAAGAGGAUGGAGCUUUGAUGAAUUUUCAGGAGGAAGAAGAAAGUCACUAAAGGGGCAGCUUGUAGGCCUCAUUUAUGCAGUACAGUAUAUGAGGGUUCCCCUUAUACUUCUCAACAUCAUCACUAUUAUUGUAAAGUUGGUGACUGGGUGAUGUCCCACUGGGUAAGAAAUAGACCAGGGAUUGGCCUUGAUUUUUAUCUUGUUUGGGAGGCAUCAGAUCAACUAUGGAGUUUUUUUGUUUGUUCAUUUAGUGUAGCAGUGACAAUGUAAUUCAAAAUUUAUGUGGACGAAGUUUCCAGAGUUUAUACUUUGUUCAAGGCCUGCUGGAUUAUUCUAUACUUUGUUCAAGGCCUGAGGUCAUUUGCAGGUAACAUUUGUCAAGAUCGAAAUGUUUUCCUAUGAGAGAAUAAGAUCAAACUUCAAGAAAAUAAAAGGUACUCAUAAUCCUAAAUAUUUGCAUUAUCAUA